CUAGAUAGCUCAGUUGGCUAGAGCAUUCGGUUCAUACCCGAACGGUCGUAGGUUCGAAUCCUAUUCUAGG
rnacentral:tRNA from 1 species